rnacentral:rRNA from 1 species
GGCCAAACCACCCCGAACAUGCCCAAUCUUGUCUAAUCUCAGAAGCUAAGCAGUGUCGGACCUGGUUAAUACUUGGAUGGGAGA